rnacentral:rRNA from 1 species
GGCCUGUUGUGCGCUAAGCUCGUAGUUGACUUCUGGCUGGUGCGGUUCAUGGCUUCAGGCGGAAUCGUUGCGGUCAUCCGCUUGCCUGUUCCGUUCGAACUUCACUGUUCGACGGACGGAGAGGCAUUUUACUUUGAAAACUUAGAGUGUUUAGGCAGGCUAUCGCCCUGAAUACACAAAAUUGGAAUAAUGAAAAGGACUAGUUCCCUUUUAUUGGUUAUUGGAAUUAUGAAUGAUUAAAAUGGACAGUUGGGGGCAUUAGUAUUUAAUUGUCAGAGGUGAAAUUCUUGGAUUUAUCUUGACUAACUUAUGCGAAAGCAUUUGCCAGGAUGUUUUCAUUAAUCAAGAAUUAAAGUUAAGGGAUCAAAGACGAUCCGAUACCGACCCAGUCUUAACUAUAAACUAUACCGACUAGGGAUUGACCGGGAUUUUUUAACCCGGUCUUUACCUUAUGAGAAAUCAAAUUCUAUGGGUUCUGGGGGGAGUAUGGCCGCAAGGAUGAUGCUUACAGGAAUUGACCGAAGAGCACCUCCCGGAGUGGAGCCUGCGGCUUAGUUUGACGCAACUUAGUUAAACUUACCACGUCAAGACUUACCUGGGAUUGACAUAUUGAGAACUCUUUCAUGAUUCUAUGGUUGGUGAUGCAUGGCCGGUCUUAGUUGGUGCAGUGAUUUGUCUGGUUAAGUCUUGUAACGAACAAUACCUUAACCUGCUAGAUAUCUGGCUGGUGAAUAACCGCUCUCACUUCUUAGACUGACUAUGCUCUCAAACGCAUGAAAGUUUGAUGCACUAUCAGAGUCAUUGAUGCACAUAGAUGUUCUGAUGCCCACGCACGCUACACUGACCCGGGCAACUAGUACGUCCUGUUCAGGAAGGAUUCGCGUAAUCUUCAUAUCACGUGUCUCUCUGAAGAUAGAUCUUUGCAAGUAUAGAUCUUGAACAAUGAAUUCCUACUACGAUAAUGCAUCAGCAUGUGCUGAUUACGUCUCUGCCCUUUGUACACACCUGCCCGUCGCUACCUACCGAUCGACUGGUCUUACCGAUUGUUUC